rnacentral:sRNA from 1 species
UCAUCCUACUAUUGCUCUACCAAAACAUAUCUUCUAUUUUUUAUAAAACACCACAAUACUUAUAUGUGCUAGGUACCUAGGACCAUCCCCUAUUGCGUCACUGCUGAUAAGUGACUGGGAAACAAUAGACUAUAGCUUCUAAGUCAAAUAGUGUGGAAUCGUAGGUCAUUCAAGUUACAAUGCUCUGUGGGCUCUUAUUACCUUAAACAGCAUCAGAGAGGAUUCUACUCUGGGGACCAGCAUCUGUGAGCUUAGGAAAGAAAGGGAGUCCCUUACCCAUGAGGCAGUAACCACGCACAGGCACUGGCUAAGUGGUAGCAUGCAUAUAAAUCUGAAGGAAAAAGUCAGCAAUAUUUAGAAUCAUAACCCUACAUUCUCCUUGACGAAGAUCUCAUCACUUCCAACAUGGGGUAUGAAACAAGACAGAGGCCAAGUUGAUGUGAAAGAGCACAGGCCACUUGAUUAGAGGAAAAUGUUGCAGAAAAAAAUAAAACAAUUUGGGCCUGUGGUGCUUGUCCAUAAGGAGAAGCUAUCAGGAGACCGAGGCAGGAAGAAUCCUAACCUCAAGGCUUGUCUGACUAAAGAUUGAGCUCAAGGCCAGCUUCAGUAAAACUCUGUCUCGAACGGCCUAAAGAUUGCUUGGUAUAUAGGUCAGUGGUACAGCACUUGCCUGUUCAGUUUCUAGGACCGAUAGAGGGGGAGGGGUAUUUCUAAAGUCUGAAGAGUGAGGAGUCACCCGUUGGAGUAUUUUGGCAGACGAUCCAAUGUGUACAAAGGCUCAUAGGUAGGCAACAGACCUAGAUGUUCAUAUUCAUGUCAGCCACGAAACACAAAAGCCAAAUUUUGAAAAGAGAAGAAAAAAAAAUCAAGUAUGGCAAGGCUUAGAGAGUAUUGUACCAGAUAGGUUUUGGAGGAUGUUGAGUGGGACAGGGUCCAACUUGUGUUCUUAAAACACUAGAGCGAUUGUCAUGUAGAGAACAGAUGGGUGCGUUGAAGGUGGGAGUGGGAUGAUGAAGGAUGUUCUUAUAAGUGACACUUGACAGUUUUGGAGGGCGAAGCUCAGAUGAGUUAGAACUGAAGGCUUCUUUCUAUUCAGCAGUCCCACAAUGUAUUAAGUGUCAUGCGCUGCCAUUUUACCUUCAUAGGAAGCAGAAAAGGAGGUCUCUGUAGACAAAAGUCCUCCACACUACCGACAGCCACAAAAGCAGCCAUUCUACUUACUGCUCAUUCUGAGCGUCUGAGCAAGUUGAAUGACAACCUUAGCCAUGCCCCACGCUUUCUUAAAAACUGAAUGUAAAAGAAUGUAUCAGCUGCCACGAGGACAGGUUGACUUGCCCAAGCCUGCACGGCCAUUACUCAGCAAAUCUUUAAUUUUAGCUCUUGCUUUUGGAAUCCAGAGCUUAUGUUUGUAGCCGAGAUUGGAGAGAGAAGAUGGCUAAGUGAUAAUGAACAUGUUGGUCUAAAGGCUUAGUAUAGACUGAUGAGAAAAAGAACUAUCCAACAGAUAAAUUUAGUUUCUCUUAAAAUACGCUCAUCUGUGUAAGCAGGUUUCUGCUCUAUGUCCAUAAAACUUCAAUACAAAAAAUUACACAUUUUAUUUUUAUAUGUAAAUAAUAUACAACAAAAGUAUGUUAAGCCAGGUUUUAACCAAAGUUUCAUGAUACUUUGUCGUAAAAAAAAAUCUAUAUAUGUAUGGCAGUAGUGACUUUGUUGAUUUUGCUCCAUCAGAAGCAGUUGCAAUGGUUAUAAAUAUGUAAUAGAACAUAUGCUCUCUGGCCACACUAUCCCUACAUGCCACUAUUCAGUGCCACCCACUUGUCAUUUCUUAUUUUAUGUUCUUCACAGAAUUUAGCAGUGUCUGUCAUUAUUGUGGUAUUAAGACUUUUUUUUGGCCCUGUUUAUAUCUUUAAAACUUCAGACCAAUGCAAUGAAGUGAGUGUUUGCUGAGUGUUUUUGAAAGCAAGAAAACCUGGUCUAGACUGCAAAGCCAUGACAUUCACAUCUUGAUGAACUUACUUAAUGCUCAUUCCCUCAACUGGUCCCAUCGUCUCAGAGCCUGGUCUUAGGACUCUGCAAGAGCGAUAGUCGAUGAAGUGGGAUUUUACAUUUGAAAAGGGGUUUCAGAUACAUCCUUUUUAAAAAAUAUUCAGAUUAAAUACAGCUAGCAUCCUUGUGGUAGACUUAACUUUUUUGUUGUUGUUGAUGUUGAGGGGGAUGAGAUCUGUCAACACAGCCACUUGAGACUGAUCAAUGCACAAAGUGUUGCACAAAGCAACUCACAUUUAACCUUUGCAAAUGAAUAAGUAAAAGGGAAUUCAUGAAUUCUUAAAAUGUUGCCCCUUGAUGAGGAAAGCAGCCUCUUUGAGCUUUAGGAUUAAUUCCCCCGGACAUUUUUUUUUUUCAUUUUAGUUUUUCCUAGUGAACCUCAGUUUCCAUUGAAUCUUGCAGAAAGAAUAAAAAUGGAAAGAGUGAGCCUUAACCAUUUUUAUCAAUUCCGCAUAUAGGCCAAAUAACAUUUAGGAAUCAUGUUCUAUUUAACUCUUUUGAAAUUAAGCUUUCAACCCCUUGAGCAUUGCUGUGAAGGCUGAGAUUUGUUUACCAAUACAAUUGAUAUUUAUCAGCAGCUUUUUUUUUCUAGCAAUAAAGCAGGCAAGAAUCAUAAAAACACCCCUCUCUUUUCAUUUGUUCACUGUUUUCUGCCAGUGCAUUAUGUGACAGCUGUUCUGAAAAUAGACUUCAGGACAGCUCUGCUUGGGCGUGCACAUGAGUGCCUUUCAAAGGACAUAUUGGCCUCCACUGACCACGAUGCAUGUGGUUCACAAACAAAGACAGAAGACGAUACACACUUCUUCAUCACCAAGGGCAACAGGUCACUGUGGACAUCACAGAAGGCAGAGUUUUAAAGGUCCAUUUUGUUACGGCUUGCUUUAUAGCUUGCUAGGUCCCCUUCUACAAAGAAAAUAGGACACCUUUUGAAGAGGGAGGGAUGAGAAGCAUGUGUGAGAGUUCAUGCAGGUACUUGGGAGGGAAAAUGACUACUUCUCUCUUGAGUGACUUGUACUUUCAUAUUAAAAGUAAACUGAGUGAAAAUAAAUACAAAAAUCUUAAAAGUCAAGUAUGCUGAUGUGUGAAAAGGAAACUUUUUUUAUUGCCUUCAAGUAUUCAGUGACUCAAAUAUCUUGUAAAAAUGGGAUGUAUAUAUAAGAUGGAGCCUGGUAUUUUGUGUUUCCCAAGGGCCAGUAAUUCUAAGAGAGCCAAGUCUCACUUUUGCAGCGGUGUACACAAUGCUUGUGCUGAGAGCUGCCGUAGCACUGGGCACUAUUUCAUCGACCCCUAACAGCCGUAAAAGUCAGGACCAGAUGUGACUCAGGUUUAUGAAAGACGGGCCAUAGUCUCCAUGAGGUUAGAGACCUAUCAAGUUUACAUGGUAAGAAAGUGGUAGAAUCAAAACUUGAACCAGAAUCCCAAGAGUUAGCCAAAUCACCCUACAAAGGCAGCUUCAGAAAAUAAAAUUGAUUUUAUAGCCAUGAAUGAAGUCAAGUUUCCCCCUUACCUCUAACCCUCGGAGCCCAAAUCAUUCAAUCAUUGGCUCUUAGUACCAAGAACUCACCAAACAGCUCUCUACUCAGCUUACGGUUCUGAAUGUUUGCUAAGUUAGCAUGAAGUUUUAGGAAAGUCUGAAAAGGUUUCAAUCGCUAGUUCCCAGGAACCUUCCCAUUCGUCCACUGACUGCUGAAGACCCUUAAUGUGAGCCAAAUUCAGAUUUCCCUUAAAAUGCCUUUCAACUUCUGCCACUGGUGGAAAUCCUAUUUCAGGCUCAGCUCUAACUAACUUGUUUUCUGAAUAUAACAGGGAAUCCUUUGUAUUUCCCAUCAAUAUACAGCCUUCUAUAUACUGUAGAAUCACACAUGUUCUAAGUCAUGAUAAGGUAAAUAUAUACUGAUUAUUAAAUGAAUUCUCUAAGUUCAGAAAUUUCUUUAAUCUUUCACAUUGUUGCCUGCAAUGCUGAUCGGAUAUAUAAAAUAAAAGACAGUAUUAU